ACCCUAAGUGGAGUUAGAAUUAAGAAAAAUUUGUCACAGAAGAGACGUGCCUGUGUUUCCUUGGAAAACCAAAUUAUUUCCUAUGGAUGUGAUAGAUGGUGAUGCAAAAAUCUGUUCCUUAAGAAACUUUGGAAAUGUCGCUUGGAGCUGGACUUGGAUCCUUCUCACUGGAACAGUCGUCACUCCACUGCCCAGAGGAAAAAGGAGAUAGGAUGUCAUGAGACAGCCCAGGGGAUCCACAGCUCUGCCUAAGCCACCGUGGCCAAAUAGCUGUGAGUUAUAAUUAACUCUGGCUCCCAGGAAUCCUCAGAGUCUGAGGCAAUAACACACCUCCUACCUGGGAAUCCCAACCAGUGGUCGUUUGUCUCUGUAAUUGAAGUUUUGCUCCAGAGCUCUUCAC